rnacentral:rRNA from 1 species
AAAGGCUUAGUGGCGGACGGGUGAGUAACGCGCUGGUAACCUGGCCCAUACAGGGGGAUAACACUUAGAAAUAGGUGCUAAUACCGCAUAACAACAGAAAGCGCAUGCUUUUUGUUUGAAAACCAAGGUGGUAUGGGAUGGACCCGCGUCUGAUUAGCUGGUUGGCGGGGUAAAGGCCCACCAAGGCGACGAUCAGUAGCCGGCCUGAGAGGGUGGACGGCCACAUUGGGACUGAGACACGGCCCAAACUCCUACGGGAGGCAGCAGUGGGGAAUAUUGCACAAUGGGGGAAACCCUGAUGCAGCGACGCCGCGUGAGUGAAGAAGUAAUUCGUUAUGUAAAGCUCUAUCAGCAGGGAAGAAAAUGACGGUACCUGAGUAAGAAGCCCCGGCUAACUACGUGCCAGCAGCCGCGGUAAUACGUAGGGGGCAAGCGUUAUCCGGAUUUACUGGGUGUAAAGGGAGCGUAGACGGCAGUGCAAGUCUGGAGUGAAAGGCGGGGGCUCAACCCCCGGACUGCUCUGGAAACUGUACGGCUGGAGUGCAGGAGAGGUAAGUGGAAUUCCUAGUGUAGCGGUGAAAUGCGUAGAUAUUAGGAGGAACACCAGUGGCGAAGGCGGCUUACUGGACUGUAACUGACGUUGAGGCUCGAAAGCGUGGGGAGCAAACAGGAUUAGAUACCCUGGUAGUCCACGCCGUANACGAUGAUCACUAGGUGUCGGGGGUUAA